rnacentral:rRNA from 1 species
AUGCUCUAUAACAGAACAACCCUAAAAGAAAUAACUGAAAUUACAUAUGAAUCUGAAAAACAGGAAAAGUUCUAUACUGCAGAAGCAAUGAUUAAGUCAAUUAAUACAUCAGAUGAGUGGUACUACAUAGGAUGCCGCCAAUGCAACAAAAAAGUACAGAAACAAGGGAACCACUUCUACUGUCCGAAAUGUCAAAACGAACCUGAGAAGAUAUGUCCAAGGUACAAACUGAAACUAGAGAUAUGUGAUCUGAGUGCAACAACAACUAGCACCAUGUUUGAGGCAGAAGCAAAAAAAUUGAUUAAGCAAUCUGCAAGUUUUUUGAUAGAGAGGGAUGAUUGUGAUAUCCAUGAACAGACAAAACAAAUCCAGAAAAUAUGUGGGCAGAGAUUGAUUUUUCAAUUCAGAUUGAAUGACUAUAAUUUGAAGUACGGUUAUCAAGAAUACACUGUUAAUAGAAUCUUUUUCAUAGAUUCUGAAAAAGAUACAUCAGUACAUCAUUCAAAUGUUGAGCAGAUGGAGGAUGAUAAACCCAUUCUAACAGACACUAAAAAGACUAGGAGGACUAGGAACACACGUCAUGUUGUACAUUCUGAUGAAGAAUCAGAAAAUCUGGAUAGUCAAGAGAAAGAUGAAUCCAUAUCUGUUGUUGAUAAGAAAUCUAAGAAAAAGGGAAUUCAAAAAGAUAGCCAUGAGCAAGCGGACAAGUUAUCAGUUAUGAAAACUAUAAAGCAAGAACCAGAGGAUGAUGAACCCACUAUUAACCGGACUAAAAGAGGUAGGAGAAGUAGCACAACUCAUGUUGUACACCUUGAUGAAGAACCAACAACUGAAGGUAGUCAGGAAAUAAUGAAAUCAAAAUCUAUGGAAGCAGGCCCCAAGAGGAAACGCGCCGUAACUCGCAAAUGUGCUGCUAUUGAUAGCAAACAAGUAAACAAUCACCAUGAAAAAGAAUCAGAACAGGCAGGUACUCAGGAGCACAAUGAUUCAAGGCCUAGGACAAGGCGUAGUUGUGCCAAUAAAGAAUUGAUGAACAAAGACAUUCAGAAGUGUGGUGUAUCAAGAACUCGAAAGUCAAAUCGUUGA